rnacentral:rRNA from 1 species
UACGUAGGGACCGAGCGUUGUCCGGAUUCAUUGGGCGUAAAGAGCUCGUAGGCGGCUGCUCAAGUCGAAUGUGAAAACUCGAGGCUCAACCUCGAGCCUGCAUUCGAUAAUGGGCGGCUAGAGUCUGGUAGGGGGAUCUGGAAUUCCUGGUGUAGCGGUGGAAUGCGCAGAUAUCAGGAGGAACACCGGUGGCGAAGGCGGGAUCCUGGGCCAGUACUGACGCUGAGGAGCGAAAGCGUGGGGAGCAAACAGG